AUAGACGCAUUACGACCUUUCAUUUUAAUAGUAGUGGAGAUUACAUUCCUUGUGUUGACAAUGUAUCUUUGAAACAAACCACUUUGCAAAUGUGUGAUAUGUGAAGCAUUUAAUUGAGUAGAUCUACGUGUCUUAUUCAUCGAUCUAAGUCCAACAGUGCCUCAUAGCUGCCAUCACCACGAGCAGGCACAUUUUGUGAGUAGGGCUGGUCAGAAGGGUCAUACCAUCAUGGUGGCAUCAUUUAAGUCAAAACGAGGGUAGUAAUCACCUCACGGUAGUACACCUACCUGUUUGAGGGCAUACAACGGAUGAAAGCACGUAAGAUUCAAAUACCAGAUAUCUAAAACUAAUUGAAAUGAUUGCUGCAGUAUGAUAAUAGAUUUCUUGUCUAUUUUUCAUGAUUUCCCAUGAAGUUCUGAUGCGAAAGAAAUAAAACAGGUCUAGCAUCAUCUAGCAACAGGGAAGGUUGAUGGUGAAGAGGGGAAAGAUCCCGAGGAAGGUCUUGGUGCACACACAAGUAGCAUUGGGCUGAGCAAUGCAAAUGGGAGCGCACUUCAAUCGGCACCAAACCCUGGGCAAGAUCCUGAAAAUGACAAACCCCGAAAAGAAUAUAAAAUGAGUCUUGUUAUCUACAAGAACAGUUUGUGGAUAAGCGCGUACCUGUCUUGAACCCCAUUGUAUGCGUCCUCUUCGUCCUCGUCCACAUCCUCAUUAGGCUCAACGCCUUCAACCAGUUUGACCUCGGUCAGGACGUAUUGUUGAACGUCGUCGGGUAAAGGAUCCUGUGGUUCAGCAGGCAAAGCCAUGGAUAAUAAGGCCAUGCC